AGAAACCCAUCUUCUUCAGCUCCUACUCUGCCCAUGAUGUCAGAUUCUCUUCUUUCUUAACCUCUCUUUUGAAUUCAUAUGUGGGCUUAAGAUUGUUGGUUUCAUUUCAUGUCUACUUUAUUCCUUUUGUAAUUUGACUUUUCGCUACCUGUCAAUAGCUUAUGGUGAAUUUGGCUUGUGGUAUCGCUAAAGCAUCAUAAUCUCUUCUUCAUUACUGCUAUGUUUCUACUUGUUGGAACAAAAUUUCAUUUAUUGGUGUGCCUUACUUUUCCCAGUGA